CAAGAUCUUCGCAAUUUAAGAUCGCAAAGGCCUUUAGAUUACACUGACAAAGUUUGGUGUUGAUCUGAAUAAAUCUCUAGGAGGAGUUUGUUAAAGUACAACCCCUGAAAAUGGCAAAAACGACACAAAUUUUGCAUAGAAAAUUCAAAAUAACUGACUUCCUGUUGGGAUUCGAAGGUCGUACCAAGAUACUUUUUUGUAGGUAUUGGUGUGUUACAUGUGUGUACCGAUUUUUGUACAUCUACGUGAAACGUAGCUCGAGACGCACUCCGUUGAAAGUGUAUAGGUGGCGCUAUCGAGGCACUUUGCCACACCCGAUGGAAUAUUGGCCUUCAGAUGUGUUCAGGCCAGGAAUCUUAUCAAACAUGUGAAGUUUGGGCAAGAUCGGACAUUUUAUGCCUGAGUUACAAUAACUUUUAUUCCCAUGGCGAGACAUCGAACUUUGUCACGGCGCCAUGGACACGCCCUUUAACGAAAACUCAAGAUCUUCACAAUUUAACAUCGCACAGGCCUUUAGAAUAGAGUGACUGAAAAAAAACAAUUGAUGUCAUAAAAUUUCUCAGGGUAGUUUGUUACAGCGUAAAAUAUGUCACUUCCUGUUGCCAGUAGGUGGCGCUAUGACUAUAACUGAAUAUGGGCAUAUCAAUCUGUUCAGGUCAGGAGUCUUAUCAAACAUGUGAAGUUUGUGGCAGAUUGGACAUUGUAUGUCUGAGUUAUAGCAACUUCAUUUUUCAUGGCGAAUCAUCGAAAUUCGUGAGGCCGCCACGGACACGCCCUUCAACGAAAACUCAAGAUCUUCGCAAUUUAACAUCGCAAAGGCCUUUAGAUUAGGCAUACCAAAUUUGGUGUUGAUCUGAAUAAAUCUCUAGGAGGAGUUCGUUAAAAUACAAGGCAUGCAAAUGACAAAAAUGAUGCAAAAUUUGCUCAUAAAAUUAAAAAUAACCGACUUCCUGUUGGGUUUCGGAUAUUGCUCCAAGAGUCUUUUUUGUAGGUACUGAUGCUUUACAUAUGUGUGCCAAUUUUCGUGCAUGUACGUGAAACACAGCUCGAGGGCUGUUGAUUCUUUUAGGAUAG
ensembl:lncRNA